rnacentral:rRNA from 1 species
UACGGGGGGGGCAAGCGUUGUUCGGAAUUACUGGGCGUAAAGGGCUCGUAGGCGGCCAACUAAGUCGGAUGUGAAAUCCCCAGGCUUAACCUGGGAACUGCAUCCGAUACUGGAUGGCUCGAGUUUGGGAGAGGGAUGCGGAAUUCCAGGUGUAGCGGUGAAAUGCGUAGAUAUCUGGAGGAACACCGGUGGCGAAGGCGGCAUCCUGGACCAACACUGACACUGAGGAGCGAAAGCCAGGGGAGCAAACGGG